UACAGAGGGGGCAAGCGUUGUUCGGAAUUACUGGGCGUAAAGGGCGCGUAGGUGGCCUUCUAAGUUGAACGUGAAAUCCCUGGGCUCAACCCAGGAACUGCGUCCGAGACUGGGAGGCUUGAAUCCGGGAGAGGGAUGCGGAAUUCCAGGUGUAGCGGUGAAAUGCGUAGACAUCUGGAGGAACACCGGUGGCGAAGGCGGCAUCCUGGACCGGGAUUGACACUGAGGCGCGAAAGCCAGGGGAGCAAACGGG
rnacentral:rRNA from 1 species